rnacentral:rRNA from 1 species
GGAUGAGCCUGCACAAUAUCAGCUUGUUGGUAGGGUAAUGGCCUACCAAGGCUACGACGUUUAGCUGGUCUGAGAGGACGGCCAGCCACACUGGAACUGAGACACGGUCCAGACUCCUACGGGAGGCAGCAGUGGGGAAUUUUGCGCAAUGGACGAAAGUCUGACGCAGCGACGCCGCGUGGGUGAUGAAGGUCUUCGGAUCGUAAAGCCCUGUCGUGGGGAACGAAACCUCCUAUGGCUAAUAUCCAUGGGACGUGACGGUACUCCAAAAGGAAGCACCGGCUAACUCCGUGCCAGCAGCCGCGGUAAUACGGAGGGUGCAAGCGUUGUUCGGAAUUACUGGGCGUAAAGCGCCUGUAGGUGGUUUAAGAAGUCGGGUGUGAAAACCCCGGGCUCAACCCGGGAACUGCGCCCGAAACCAUUAAGCUUGAGUGCCAAAAGGGUACGUGGAAUUCCAAGUGUAGCAGUGAAAUGCGUAGAUAUUUGGAGGAACACCGGUGGUGCAGACGACGUACUGGGUGGCAACUGACACUGAGAGGCGAAAGCGUGGGUAGCAAACAGGAUUAGAUACCCUGGUAGUCCACGCCGUAAACGAUGGGUACUAGGUGUUGGGGAGCUUUAGAAACUCCUCAGUGCCGACGCAAACGCAUUAA